rnacentral:lncRNA from 7 species
GCUGAGCAGGCUUGAACGGUCCUGUGUGCUGUGCUCUCUGUCCUGCUGCUGGAUGCUGUGAAGGGAGCUCAGGCAAGCUCCGAAGUUGCGACAUGGAUGCAUUGACCUAUGAUGAUGUGCAUGUGAACUUCACUCAAGAAGAAUGGGCUUUGCUGAACCCUACACAGAGGAAUCUCUACAAAGAUGUGAUGUUGGAGAUCUACAGGAACCUCAAAGCUGUAGGCUACAAUUGGGAAGACCAAAACACUGAAGAAUAUUGUCAAAGUUCCAGAAAACAUGGAAGGCAUGAAAGAAGUCGUACUGGAGAAAAACCCUCUGAAAAUACUAAAUGUGGUAAAGCCUUUGCAUGUCACAGUCAUCCCCAAAAGUAUGAAAGAAUUCAUACUGGAGAGAAACCCAAUGAUGGUAUUCAGUAUGGUGAAGCCUUUGUACAUCACUGUAGUCUCCAAAUGCAUAAAAUAAUACAUACUGGAAAGAAACCCUACAAAUGCAAUCAAUGUGGUAAAGCCUUUGCACAACCCAGAACUCUCCAAAUACAUAAAAGAGCACAUACUGGAGAGAAACCUUACAAAUGUAAUGAAUGUGGUAAAAUCUUUGCACAAUACAAUACUCUCAAAAGGCAUAAAAAAACCCAUACUGGAGAGAAACCCUAUGAAUGUAAUCAAUGUAGUAAAGCCUUUGCAGAUCAUGAUCAACUUCGAAAACAUGAAAGAGUUCAUACUGGAGAGAAACCUUACAAAUGUAAUGAAUGUGGUAAAGUCUUUGCACAAUACAGUACUCUCAAAAGGCAUGAAAAAACCCAUUUUGGAGAGAAACCCUAUGAAUGUAAGCAAUGUGGUAAAGCCUUUACACAAAAGGCUCAUCUCAAAAUACAUAUAAUAACACAUACUGGAGAGAAACCUUACAAAUGUCAUCAAUGUGAUAAAGCCUUUGCAUCUCAUGGUAAUCUCCAAGUACAUAAAAGAACACAUACUGGAGAGAAACCCUAUGAAUGUGAUCAGUGUGGUAAAGCCUUUGCACAUCAUUGUCAUUUCCGAGUACAUAAAAGAAUACAUACUGGAGAGAAACCUUAUAAAUGUGAUCAAUGUGUUAAAGCCUUUGCAGAUCAUGGUCAACUUCGAAAACAUGAAAGAGUUCAUACUGGAGAGAAACCUUACAAAUGUAAUGAAUGUGGAAAAGCCUUUGUAUGUAAUGCUAGUCUCCAAGCACAUAAAGUAACUCAUAGUAGAGUGAAACCUUAUGAAUGUAAGCAAUGUAGUAAAUCCUUUGCCUCUCAUGGUCAACUUCAAGCACAUGAAAGAAUUCAUACUGGAGAGAAACCUUACAAAUGUAAUCAAUGUGGUAAAGCCUUUAUAGAACACAAUACUCUCAAAAGGCAUAAAAUAACCCAUACUGGAGAGAAACCCUAUGAAUGUAAUCAAUGUAGUAAAUCCUUUGCCUCUCAUGGUCAACUUCGGAAACAUGAAAGAAUUCAUACUGGAGAGAAACCUUACAAAUGUAAUCAAUGUGGUAAAGCCUUUGCAGAACAUGGUCAACUUCUAAAACAUGAAAGAAUUCAUACUGGAGAGAAACCUUACAAAUGUAAUCAAUGUGGUAAAGCCUUUGCAUACCAUUAUGAGCUUCAAAUGCAUAAAAGAAUACAUACUGGAGAGAAACCCUAUGAAUGUAAGCAAUGUGGUAAAUUUUUUGCUUCUCAUGGUCAACUCCGAAAACAUGAAAGAAUUCAUACUGGAGAGAAACCUUACAAAUGUAAUCAAUGUGGUAAAGUCUUUGGACGACACAGUCAUCUCAGAAUUCAUAAAAGAAUACAUACUGGAGAGAAACCUUACAAAUGUGAUCAAUGUGGUAAAGCCUUUCCAUAUAGUAAUACUCUCCAAGUACAUAAAAGAACACAUACUGGAGAGAAACCCUAUGCGUGUGGUCAAUGUGGCAAAGCCUUUGCAAAUCAAAGUUAUUUACAUGUACAUAAAAGAAUACAUACUGGAGAGAAACCCUAUGAAUGUAAGCAAUGUAGUAAAUCCUUUGUUUCUAAUGGUCAACUUCAAAGACAUGAAAGAAUUCAUACUGGAGAGAAACCUUACAAAUGUGAUCAAUGUGGUAAAGCCUUUGCAUACCAUUAUCAUCUUCAAAUGCAUAAAAGAAUGCAUACUGGAGAGAAACCCUAUGAAUGUAAGCAAUGUGGUAAAUUUUUUGCUUCUCAUGGUCAACUCCGAAAACAUGAAAGAAUUCAUACUGGAGAGAAACCUUACAAAUGAAGACAAUAUAGUAAAGCCUAUUCACAAUAAAGUCACCUCCAACUACAUAAAAGCACAUACUAAAGAGUAACUCUGUGAAUAUAACCAAUGUGACAAAGCCAUUGCAUAUCAUAGUUAUAUCCAAGUAGAUAAAAGAACAUAUACUGCAAAGAAGCCCUAUGAAUGUAAUCAAUGUGGCAAGGCCUUUGCAUAUGAAAGUUAUUUCCAAGUACAUAAAAGAUUACAUACUGGAGAGAAACCCUAUGAAUGUAAGCAAAGUAGUAAAUCCUUUGCCUCAUGGUCAACUUCAAAGUCAUCAAAGAAUUCAUAAUGGAAAGAAACCUUACAAAUAUAAUGAAUGUGGUAAAGCCUUUGCACACCAUCGUAAUCUUCGAAUGCAUAAAAGAAUACACUGGAGAGAAACCUUACAAAUGUAGAAAAUAUGGCAAAGCCUAUUCACAAACAAGUCACCUCCAACUACAUGAAAGACCACAUACUAAAGAGUAAUCCUAUGAAUAUAACCAAUGUGGUAAAGCCUUUACAGCAAUCUUGAAAGAUGUGGUGGUUUGAAAAUACUUGGCCCAUGGAAAGUGGUAGUAUUCACAAGUAUGGCCUUUCAGGAAUAGAUGUGGCAUUUGAGAAAGUAUGUCACAGUGGGGGUGGACUUUGAGAUCCUAUGCUUAAGCUCCACACAGGGCAGAAGAGUCUUCUGGCUGCCUUCUGAUCAAGAUGUAGAACUCUCCUGCAGCACCAUGUCUGCUUGGACACUGCCAUUUUUUCAGCCUUGAUAUUAGACUGAACCUCUGAAUCUGUACACUACCCCCAAUUAAAUGUCCUUUAUAAGA